UACGUAGGGUGCAAGCGUUAUCCGGAAUUAUUGGGCGUAAAGAGCUCGUAGGCGGUUUGUCGCGUCUGCUGUGAAAACUGGAGGCUCAACCUCCAGCCUGCAGUGGGUACGGGCAAACUAGAGUGCGGGUAGGGGAGAUUGGAAUUCCUGGUGUAGCGGUGGAAUGCGCAGAUAUCAGGAGGAACACCGAUGGCGAAGGC
rnacentral:rRNA from 1 species